GAUGAAGAACGUAGCGAAUUGCGAUACGUAAUGUGAAUUGCAGAAUUCAGUGAAUCAUCGAAUCUUUGAACGCACCUUGCACCCUUUGGUAUUCCGAAGGGUAUGCUCGUUUGAGGGUCAUUGUAAUCUCACGCUCUAAUGCUUUUUUGUAUUAGGGAAUGUGGACUUGGGAGUUGCAGUGUUCAACUGCUCUCUUGAAAUGCAUUAGCAGACACUUACUUUGUGCUGUAGUCGGUGUGAUAAUUGUCUUCGCCGCUUGCAUCUUGCAAACACACAAGCAAGGUUGAUUUGCUUUCAAAUGGUCUUAGGACAAAUUUAUUUGACACUUGACCUCAAAUCGAGUAGGAUUACCCGCUGAACUUAAGCAUAUCAAUAAGCGGAGGA
rnacentral:misc_RNA from 1 species